AUUUGCCGGUCAUGUUGACUAUAGCAACCCGAGCAUGGCUGAUAGGACUCCUGAAGUACACCAUUAACAGCUGGUCCGAAUUGAAGGCCUAGUU
rnacentral:snoRNA from 10 species